rnacentral:rRNA from 1 species
CACUCCUACGGGAGGCAGCAGUGGGGAAUUUUGGACAAUGGGCGAAAGCCUGAUCCAGCAAUGCCGCGUGAGUGAAGAAGGCCUUCGGGUUGUAAAGCUCUUUUGUCAGGGAAGAAACGGUGAGAGCUAAUAUCUUUUGCUAAUGACGGUACCUGAAGAAUAAGCACCGGCUAACUACGUGCCAGCAGCCGCGGUAAUACGUAGGGUGCAAGCGUUAAUCGGAAUUACUGGGCGUAAAGCGUGCGCAGGCGGUUUUGUAAGUCUGAUGUGAAAUCCCCGGGCUCAACCUGGGAAUUGCAUUGGAGACUGCAAGGCUAGAAUCUGGCAGAGGGGGGUAGAAUUCCACGUGUAGCAGUGAAAUGCGUAGAUAUGUGGAGGAACACCGAUGGCGAAGGCAGCCCCCUGGGUCAAGAUUGACGCUCAUGCACGAAAGCGUGGGGAGCAAACAGGAUUAGAUACCCCAGUAGUCCCAUG